rnacentral:lncRNA from 1 species
CUUUCGGAGCUGUGCGGCAUUCUGAGCAGGAAUGGCAGUGUGGACCUCUGUGAUGGGACAUCUUGUGGGAUCUCACAGCCAGGUAACUCAGUGGGGGAGGGGCAUGACUAGAACAUAAUGACCACAAAGCCCAUGAUGGUAUGAGAGUAGUGGACAGAAGGGAUUUCUGAAAAACACUUUUCUGAGGCUUUAAUUCAGCUACUGGAAAGGGUUUAGUUCCGUGAAGAAGGGGACUGACUGUUCACAUCUCUUAUUUCCAGUUCUGUGGCAAAGGAGGAUGAAGGCUUACGAGGACUCGUCAGGAAGCUGGAUAACAGAGCGAGCGCAAUGUGCUAGAAUAGAAGACCAGAAAAUGAAAUGGUGGAGUUUGAGGCUGGAUAGACAGUUUGAAAGGUACAAAUAAUGGUUUGAAUAAAGAAAGGUAUUAAUGGGUCACCUCAAGUGAAGGCACUGCAAACACAAUGAUUGGUCAUUCUGAAUUUCCGGUCCUUCAUUCUGAAUUUCAAAGGCUCCUGUGACAAGUGGACAUGCAGUGACUGCACCUUUGUUUCUGAGGUGCCUGGAUGGAGGCUCAAAUAGAAGAUGGUGUCAGAUAUAUUGUGUUAAAAUUUUACCAUUAAAGUGUAUUAUAACAUGAA